rnacentral:lncRNA from 1 species
AGGGGGCCAUGUCCUGGCCCCGCCCCCGCUGUGUGUGGUCCAGUUCACCAUAGCGAUCGAGCCUUCCUCUUUAUUAUUUUUGUUCCUUUCCGGGAGUGGCCCUCAUCCUUCCCUCUGUGCGGGCCUGCACCAGGGCGUGUUCUGUUGCUACUUGCUUCUUCCUGUGUGGUAAUGGCCCACAGUGCUGUGUCUGCAACCCUCCUCCCACGUCUCCAUCAACCUCUGGGAUCCAGAGGUAGCUUUGAUGCCUGUGAGGGCUUCCUCCCUCUGUUCAUCCCCAGGCUGUGUAAAUGCAUCCGUUGAUCUCCUCUGCUUCGUUAUACCCCCAAAAUGGAGUUGUCCCUAUGGUCAUCAUGUAGAGUGUUUCUUUUCCAGAUUGGCCUGCAAUGGAAAGGAAGGCUUUUGAUUUUGAUUUUUAUCUUUUUUUCACAUAACACAGCAACAAUCUAGGCAUGGUGGCAUACACCUGUAAUCCCAACAGUCAGGUGACUAAAGCAGGAGAGUCACUGGUUCAAGGCCAGCUUGGGCUAUAUAACACACCCCUGCCUCAAACACAGAAGGAGAGAAAUUUGAGCAAUAGCAGACUGUGUGGGCCUUUUUUACCCCUCUGUCCACUACACAAAAAAACUCUGUGAGACAGCCAGUCUUUGAGAGCGAUGGACCUUCUCCCGCCCACAGCCCAGCCAACCAAACUAGAAGAGUCUGGGCUGUCUUCGAGUUGUCCUUUUCUUCCUUCUCUGUGCCAAUGUCCAAGUUGCUGACUUCCUUCCUGUAUUAUAACACAUUAGAAAGAUGAGUUGUUUACCAGUUAGACCUCUGUCUGGGCUGCCCUGAUCUCUCUGUCACAGGCUCUUCUCAUAGCCACAUGGUUACCAUUCAAGAUGGCCCCUGGAUGCCUGCAGCACAUGGCUACUAAUGAAUUACUUUAAUUAUUGCAAAUCAGUGGAAUUCUCAAGAGACAAGAAAGUCUCGUGUAUAUUUGUUAUCUCUUCCCUCCCUCCCCAGCCCCGGCCCUGGCCCUAGUUUUCUCUCCUGUGUGUCAGGUUACAGGGCUUCUCACCAUGACAUUAGUCCCACACAAGGAGAGCCUACUGUACCAAAAUGAAACUUGUAAAUUUUUGUGUCCUUGUAUGUAAGUUUACUUUUUAUGGAGGAAAGACUCUAGAUAAUGACAAAUGAAGAUUACAAAGUGUAUUUUACUCCUGUGAUUAGGUUACACCACAUGGGUCAUAACUCACUCCCGAGCCCCCACUGCUGAAGGGAAGCGCUCUGCCUCAGUGGCCAACGUUGGUGGUUCAGGGUCAUUAGUCAGUUGAGUUCUAGAACGCGUGCUCAGUAACAAAAAAAAAAAAUCACCUUUUCUUCCCUUUGUUUUUAAUCCGUUUGUUGUUGUGGAAAAGUAUGAAUUUGUUAUUACGCAUUGAUUUUCUGUGUCCUUAAGUACUGCCUAAAGAUGAAGCAAAUUUUGAACUGGCAAUUACGAUAAGGAAACCCUUUAGUUCUGGAGACUUUAGUAGACUCUGUUAGAUUAGGGAGGCCUCACAGGCUGGCCGGCUCCAAGGACGGUCACUCACUGUCAGUGUGGCGUGGCUUUAUUUGCUUAAAUACCUUCAUUUGUAUAGUAUGUCUCACUUGAAAUUGCUUUGUAUACAUUUUGUAAAAAUAUUUAUAAAAUGUUUUG